CUGAGCUAUUUCUUAUUUCAGCCCAAUCUUUCUAAACACGAACUGCCCAGAGAUGGCCGGUGUUGUGUCUUGUGCCUAUAUACGCUCAAUACAUGUUUCUCAAGAUUCUCUGCCCGUUUGAGCACUGCAAAUCCCGAUGGUUCGUCAUUUGCUUGCUCAAAUUCUCUUGGCAUAAAUCGGGUCACGCCCCUCCCUCAGGUUGUAUCUCGC